UAAAUCCCAUUACUAACAGUGAUGGAAGUAAAUACUAUCCAGUUAAUAAUUGUAGUUUGAUUGGAAGUCAUUGCAACUAUCUGUUAGAAAAACCGUGCUGUGACGAAAAACACGAAUGCAAAGUUUUAGACAUUAGUACAGAUGAAAAUAUAUAUACGUGUCUCAA